rnacentral:lncRNA from 1 species
AUUUUUCUUAUGACAUAAUGAAACUAUGCUUGGUUUAACAUAGUGUGUUCACUAAGUUUCAGUUUCCUUUUACGAGCUUACUAAGCACUAGUUGCUUAUGUUGUUAUUUUCUCUGUCUUGCAGAUCAUCAGAAAGCUCAAUCGAUUGGAAUCUCGUUAGUGCACCAUCACACUAUCCAUUUGUCACAUUGGUAGUUUUGGUUAACAAUUAUAA